rnacentral:rRNA from 1 species
AACGAACGCUGGCGGCAUGCCUAACACAUGCAAGUCGAACGAGAGCUUCGGAUCUAGUGGCUCACGGGUGCGUCACGCGUGGGAAGCUGCCCGUAGGUUCGGAAUAACUCCCCGUCGGGGGUGCUAAUGCCGGAUAAUGUCUUCUGAUACAAGAUUCAUCGUCGUUGGGUGCGCACGCGUUGGUUUAGCUUGUCGGUAGGGUAAAAGCCUACGAAGGAUACGCUAGUUAGCGGGUCUGAGAGGAUGAUAGGCCACACUGGGACGAUGACGCGGCCGAGACUCCUACGGGAGGCAGCAGUGGGUAAUACUGGCAAACCGCCUAAGGCCUGAACCACCUAGGCUGCUUGAGUGAUGAAGUCCUUAGGGUUGUAAAGCUCUUUUACCCGGGACGAUAAUGACAGUACCGGGAGAAUAAGCUCCGGCUAACUUCGUG